UACGUAGGGGCAAGCGUUGUCCGGAAUCAUUGGGCGUAAAGCGCGUGUAGGCGGCUCGAUAAGUCUGCUGUGAAAGUUCAGGGCUCAACCCUGAAAUGCCGGUGGAAACUGUCGGGCUAGAGUCCGGAAGAGGCGAGUGGAAUUCCUGGUGUAGCGGUGAAAUGCGCAGAUAUCAGGAGGAACACCGGUGGCGAAGGCGGGUCUCUGGCCGAUACUGACGCUGAGGAGCGAAAGCGUGGGGAGCAAACAGG
rnacentral:rRNA from 1 species